UGGCACGAGAGCAAGAACGCAGCAGCAUCCUUCAGUAACUGCUUCUGAUCCUGCACCUCUUCUCUGCUAGACUCAGGAAAACGAACACCUGGUGAGAAAAUAUCUGGGUUAAACCGAAUGUCAAAUGAUGUGUCACUAAUGGAGCCUACGGCCUUGCAAGCAUUUCGAAUCACUUCUCUGCUUUUGGGAUCGACUGUUCCAUCAUCAGAUGCAAUGGUCUCAGCCAGCUCUUUAACCUGAUCAAGUCCAGUCACGCUGUCAUCUGUUUUACCAUCAUCUGACUCAGACUUCUC
rnacentral:lncRNA from 1 species